rnacentral:misc_RNA from 1 species
CCCCAAUACACAGUACCAAAACCACCUUGGCCAAGUACACUGAAGUUGCUUAAAUGACCAGUUGCAAUUGCUAGUUCUGGAAAUGUAAAUUUCCUCAGUUCAUAUGCUUCGUAAUCCUUAUGUAAUGAUCGCAUUUCUCUAAACUGAGCAGGGAUCAUUGUUUCUAACGGAUCUCCCCCUAUUAAUGACUUGGAUUCCGAGGUUUCUGCAUUAACUCUGAACAGAGCCGGGAUCAUUGUUUCU